rnacentral:rRNA from 1 species
CAGUAGCCGCGGGAAUACGUAGGGUGCAAGCGUUAAUCGGAAUUACUGGGCGUAAAGCGUGCGCAGGCGGUGUUGUAAGACUGAUGUGAAAUCCCCGGGCUCAACCUGGGAACUGCAUUGGUGACUGCAGCGCUGGAGUGCGGCAGAGGGGGAUGGAAUUCCGCGUGUAGCAGUGAAAUGCGUAGAUAUGCGGAGGAACACCGAUGGCGAAGGCAAUCCCCUGGGCCUGCACUGACGCUCAUGCACGAAAGCGUGGGGAGCAAACAGGAUUAGAUACCCCUGUAGUCCCUGUCUCUUAUAC